GAAUGCCGGAAGCCGGUCCAUUCUUGCUGCUUGAAACAGUUGCUACAGGGAAGAAACAACUGCACAGCAUAUGUCCCAAGGGAACUGGC